AGCGAACGCUGGCGGCAGGCCUAACACAUGCAAGUCGAACGAACUCUUCGGAGUUAGUGGCGGACGGGUGAGUAACACGUGGGAACGUGCCUUUAGGUUCGGAGUAACUCAGGGAAACUUGUGCUAAUACCGAAUGUGCCCUUCGGGGGAAAGAUUUAUCGCCUUUAGAGCGGCCCGCGUCUGAUUAGCUAGUUGGUGAGGUAAAGGCUCACCAAGGCGACGAUCAGUAGCUGGUUUGAGAGGAUGAUCAGCCACAUUGGGACUGAGACACGGCCCAAACUCCUACGGGAGGCAGCAGUGGGGAAUCUUGCGCAAUGGGCGAAAGCCUGACGCAGCCAUGCCGCGUGAAUGAUGAAGGUCUUAGGAUUGUAAAAUUCUUUCAACGGGGACGAUAAUGACGGUACCCGGAGAAGAAGCCCCGGCUAACUUCGUG
rnacentral:rRNA from 1 species